rnacentral:lncRNA from 13 species
ACUACAGCAGUUUCCCUCUUGCAUUACACUACAUUACAUUGAUUGAUGAUGUGCAUGGACUAACCAAGUACUUCAGAAGAUGUUUUGGGUUACGUUGGGAUUAGACAGUCAAGCUAGCUCACAAUGUUUUUCUAAGUUAUAUUCUUCAAGAAUCAAACAGUAGGUAUUAUUCAUUUAAAUGAUCAAAAACCAUACAGUUGGUGGUGUGACUUUCAUAAUUUACACGUUUAAGGCUUCUGAUGAGAAAGCCUUCUGCUGUGCAUAGUAUGUGGACUUCUNNNNNNNNNNUCUCUAACCCUAGGGUGAUACAGGUGAAUCGGGAGCUGAGGUAAGAUAUUUUAUUUUAAUAAGGCAGUAUUAAUUAUCAUCAAAUUAUUAACAUGAUAAUUAAGCCCAAUUGUUAAUUUCUCCUAUCUCCCCCCAGGGUAAAAAAGGGGAAUUGGGUGCUCCGGGCCCACCUGGUACCCAUGUUCUGGUCACUCAACAAGAGGGUGCCACCCUUGAAGAGAUGAGACAGGCAUUCCCUUUGCCAAUGGGACCUCCUGGGGCUAAAGGUCCACCAGGGAUGAAGGUACAUUUCUUUACUUAAUU